AAACCAACAGGGAUUGCCCUAGUAACGGCGAGUGAAGCGGCAACAGCUCAAAUUUGAAAUCUGGCUCUUUAGGGCCCGAGUUGUAAUUUGUAGAGGAUGCUUUUGGCGCGGUGCCUUCCGAGUUCCCUGGAACGGGACGCCUUAGAGGGUGAGAGCCCCGUACGGUUGGACACCAAGCCUCUGUAAAGCUCCUUCGACGAGUCGAGUAGUUUGGGAAUGCUGCUCUAAAUGGGAGGUAAAUUUCUUCUAAAGCUAAAUAUUGGCCAGAGACCGAUAGCGCACAAGUAGAGUGAUCGAAAGAUGAAAAGCACUUUGAAAAGAGGGUUAAAUAGCACGUGAAAUUGUUGAAAGGGAAGCGUUUGCGACCAGACCUUUUCCUAGCGGAUCAUCCGGUGUUCUUCGCCGGUGCACUUCGCUAGGUCGAGGCCAGCAUCGGUUUCUGCAGGGGGAUAAAAGCCCAGGGAACGUAGCUCUUUCGGGAGUGUUAUAGCCCUCCGCAUAAUACCCUUGCGGGGACCGAGGACCGCGCUUUUUGCAAGGAUGCUGGCGUAAUGGUCGUCAACGAC
rnacentral:rRNA from 1 species